AUCUGUAUUAUAAAUAAAAUAGAAAUAAAAUCUUACAUACGUGAUUUUCCAAAAACACGUUCUAAAUGUUUGAAAUAUCUUGAUGUUGAUAAAAAUACAAUGUAGAUUAUAGGAACAAUGAAACAGCUGUGAUGAAAUGAUAAAAUAUUCAGCAGAAUAUACACAAUAUUUUUUUAUAUUUCGAAUUUACUUGGUCAGUGUCCUAAAAAAGAGAACUAAUAUCUCCAUCUCUUUUUCUUUCCUAUUAGAUUAAUAUUUUCAUUUCACCUAAAUUUUGUAAGUUAGUUUGUAAACAAUACGAAGGACGAGAACACUUAAUAGUUUUGCACAAAUUUUUAGGCUCAAUAGAUUAAUUACACACACUUUAUACACAUUUCCUGAGAUUUGACUAGUAUUUUCACUGUUUUGUAUAUAUAUAUAUAUAUGUAUAUAUAUAUUGUAAUAUAUAUAUAUUUUUUUUUAUAUUUAUAUACAAAUUAUAUUAAGAGUUAGAAAGACUAGUAGUUUUAUGCUAACUUAAUUGUCAAUACACUUAUACAACAAGUCAUUUAUGCAAUACUUCUGCAUUACAAAUAGGAAAACUGAAGAAUCAUUUUCAUGUUUCAUGUUUAAAGAUUUGAAAUCUAUUUAAGGCGAUUUUCUUUAUCACCUUCGUUUUCUGGUCAUUUUAAGUGAAAUACACAUAAAGCUCUGAGUUCCUGCACUGAGAAGAUCUGGAUAUUUUAUCAGGGAAAAUUUGCUAAGCUUUGUAAUAUUUUGCUUGGGAUGUGACCUAUUUAUAUUACAUCGAUAUAGAUAUUAAUUAUUACUUUGAUUAGUUAUAAACUUAGAUUCAAUAUAUAUUAUUAUUGAACUGCAAUGGCUUAAUAAUAUUUCUUUACUUUCUGAUAGUUAGAGGGACGAUAGGUUAUAACAGUACGUGAUAUAAAUUAUUAUUUUUCUUAUUCUCUAAAAAACAAUUUAAAACGCUAUUUAGGAUUACGUUUUGUAUAGUAAUCUUAUAACAGAAGUUUUAUAAUAAAACAAACUAACGGUUGAAUCCGUUUGUGCACAGGCAGUUUAAUAAUUGUACUUU